rnacentral:rRNA from 1 species
GAUUAACGCUGGCGGCGUGCAUAACACAUGCAAGUCGAACGAUGAAACUUAACUGAUUUCUUCGGAAUGAUUUUAAGUGGAUUAGUGGCGGACGGGUGAGUAACGCGUGAGUAACCUGCCUUGGAGAAGGGGAUAGCCUUUGGAAACGAAGAAUAAUACCCUAUGAUAUGAUAAUAUCUCAUGAAAUUAUCAUCAAAGAUUUAUCGCUCUAAGAUGGACUUGCGUCUGAUUAGUUAGUUGGUGAGGUAACAGCUCACCAAGGCAGCGAUCAGUAGCCGGCUUUGAAGAGUGGAAGGGCAAAAUGGGAACGAGACAAGGCCCAGAACCCCACGGGAGGGAGGAGUGGGGAAAUUUGCAAAAAGGGGGAAACCCUGAUGCAGCGACGCCGCGUGAUUUAGAAGGCCUUCGGGUUGUAAAAAUCUUUUGUAUGGGAAGAAAAUGACAGUACCAUACGAAUAAGGACCGGCUAAUUACGUG